ACUCCUACGGGAGGCAGCAGUGGGGAAUAUUGCACAAUGGGGGAAAGCCCAUCGAUGCAGCGACGCAGCGUGCGGGAUGACGGCCUUCGGGUUGUAAACCGCUUUCAGCAGGGAAGAAGCGCAAGUGACGGUACCUGCAGAAGAAGUACCGGCUAACUACGUGCCAGCAGCCGCGGUAAUACGUAGGGUACGAGCGUUGUCCGGAAUUAUUGGGCGUAAAGAGCUCGUAGGUGGUUGGUCACGUCUGCUGUGGAAACGCAACGCUUAACGUUGCGCGUGCAGUGGGUACGGGCUGACUAGAGUGCAGUAGGGGAGUCUGGAAUUCCUGGUGUAGCGGUGAAAUGCGCAGAUAUCAGGAGGAACACCGGUGGCGAAGGCGGGACUCUGGGCUGUAACUGACACUGAGGAGCGAAAGCAUGGGGGAGCGAACAGGAUUAGAUACCCUGUAGGCUCU
rnacentral:rRNA from 1 species